UGUAGUAAUACAAGGCAGACGGCUCAGUAACGCGUAGUCAACCUAACCUAUGGACGGGGAUAACCUCGGGAAACUGAGAAUAAUACCCGAUAGAACAUUAUGCCUGGAAUGGUUUAUGUUUCAAAUAAUUUAUUGCCGUAGGAUGGGACUGCGGCCUAUCAGUUUGUUGGUGAGGUAAUGGCCCACCAAGACUAUUACAGGUACGGGCUCUGAGAGGAGUAGCCCGGAGAUGGGUACUGAGACACGGACCCAGGCCCUAUGGGGCGCAGCAGGCGAGAAAACUUUGCAAUGUGCGAAAGCACGACAAGGUUAAUCCGAGUGGUUUCUGCUAAAGGAACCUUUUGUCAGUCCUAGAAACACUGAUGAAUAAGGGGUGGGCAAGUUCUGGUGUCAGCCGCCGCGGUAAAACCAGCACCUCAAGUGGUCAGGAUGAUUAUUGGGCCUAAAGCAUCCGUAGCCUGCUUUGUUAGUUUUCGGUUAAAUCCAUACGCUCAACGUAUGGGCUGCCGGGAAUACUGCAAAGCUAGGGAGUGGGAGAGGUAGACGGUACUCGGUAGGAAGGGGUAAAAUCCUUUGAUCUAUUGAUGACCACCUGUGGCGAAGGCGGUCUACCAGAACACGUCCGACGGUGAGGGAUGAAAGCUGGGGGAGCAAACCGGAUUAGAUACCCGGGUAGUCCCAGCUGUAAACUAUGCAAACUCAGUGAUGCAUUGGCUUGAUGCCAAUGCAGUGCCGCAGGGAAGCCGUUAAGUUUGCCGCCUGGGAAGUACGUACGCAAGUAUGAAACUUAAAGGAAUUGGCGGGGGAGCACCACAAGGGGUGAAGCCUGCGGUUCAAUUGGA
rnacentral:rRNA from 1 species